GAUGAAGAACGCAGCGAAAUGCGAUAAGUAGUGUGAAUUGCAGAAUUCAGUGAAUCAUCGAAUCUUUGAACGCACAUUGCGCCCCUCGGUAUUCCGUGGGGCAUGACUGUUCGAGCGUCAUUUAACCCCUCAAGCCUAGCUUGGUAUUGGGUGCUUGUCCCGCCUCUCGCGCGGCGACUCACCUCAAAGUCAUUGGCAGCCCGCAUCUCGCCGGCCGUGAGCGCAGCACAGACGCGCUCUUGGCAACGACGGAUCGGCUCUCCAAAAGCUUAUUUCAACCACUGACCUCGGAUCAGGUAGGGAUACCCGCUGAACUUAAGCAUAUCAAUAAGCGGAGGA
rnacentral:misc_RNA from 1 species